rnacentral:tRNA from 1 species
ACAUUGGUGGUUCAGUGGUAGAAUUCUCACCCUCCGUGCAGGAGACCCAUGUGGGAGACCCGGGUUCAAUUCCCGGCCAAUCCA